UACGUAGGGGGCUAGCGUUGUCCGGAAUUAUUGGGCGUAAAGAGCGUGUAGGCGGCCAGAUAAGUCCGCUGUGAAAUCUCGAGGCUCAACUUCGAGCUGUCGGUGGAAACUAUCUGGCUAGAGUCCGGAGGAGGCGAGUGGAACUCCUGGUGUAGCGGUGGAAUGCGCAGAUAUCAGGAAGAACACCAACGGCGAAGGCAGCUCGCUGGGACGGUACUGACGCUGAGACGCGAAAGCGUGGGGAGCGAACAGG
rnacentral:rRNA from 1 species